AUAGGAGUCACCUGGGGAUCUUAUUAAAAUUAAAAUUCUGAUUCUGAAGGUCUGAGGUGGGACCUGGAAUUCUAAAUUCUAAUAAGCUCCCAAGUGAUGACAAU
rnacentral:pre_miRNA from 1 species